AUUUAAUACUCUUUCAGAAGUCAGUACACAAAGAUAAAUUCAUUGAAGCUGAAUUGUUCAUUACAGGAUUUCAAACAGGUAAAGUUUCCAAUGUCCAUUGCCUCCCAAUCAUUCCAUGGUAAUAAAGAAGCUCAAAUUCCAGACGCAAGUGACUAAUUCUGCAAACUGCAUAUGAGAAUACUCCCUUUACUUUCCAUUUAUGUUUUCAUAAAAACAACAAAAGAAAACCAACAUUAUUCUUAUGAUUCACACAGAUCCCUACGUGAAGGUUUCUUUAAUGUGUGAAGGAAGGCGACUAAAGAAAAGAAAAACCUCCACCAAGAGGAAUACUCUUAAUCCCGUUUACAAUGAAGCCAUAGUCUUUGACGUCCCUCCAGAAAACAUUGACCAAAUUAACUUGUCGAUAGCUGUUAUGGAUUAUGACCGUGUAGGUCACAAUGAGGUCAUUGGAGUAUGUCAAGUAGGCAACGAUGCAGAAAGUCUAGGUCGUGACCAUUGGAACGAAAUGCUCUCAUAUCCUCGGAAACCCAUUGCCCACUGGCAUCCUCUUGCAGAGGGCCCUAUUCAGCAGAAAUGUUAUGCAGGUCUUCUGCGCUUGGAUGGCUGCCGAAGAGGCUUCCUCACCCUUUUAACCUAUUCAGCAGAAAUUUGGCAUUCCUGUUGAACUCUUUCUUAGCCAUUUCCUCAGGGGCUAUUCCACAGAGUCCAGUGGGGAAUCAAGUGGGGGAGGGUGUCCAGCGCAUCCAGGCUGUGCAGAGAAAUAUAUACACAGCAUAUCGUUUUGGUUCCUGAAUCAGGAUUAGGCUCAGCGAGAGUUCUGGAACCUCUGUGGCCACAACCAUAGGACCCUGAAUAUUGCUGAAUAGAACCCUCAGUCUUCAACUGUGUGAAGAGCUAUUGGUUUCAAGUAGUGCAAUAUUAUCCACUUGUAGCAUUAGUUCUCCAGCUGACACUAUUGCUACUGAUAGAUUUUUUGUAUGGUCAUAAGCAUUAUACAAAUUUAAGUCAAAUGUUUUGCUCAUUAGAAUAACCCAGGUUUUACAAGCAACAUGACAGCAAUGAAAAUAACAGAUAUUGGAACCAGCUUCAAAUAUGAUUAUUGUAUUUGCAAAGGAAAAAAGAAGUGCAGUAUUGUAAACGUAAAGCUAUGUAAGUCAUUUUUUCCCAAGAAUGCUUGUCAUCAGACUUUUGAUGGUGAGUUUUAGCUUUCAUCUCUGUGUCUCCUUUCACCUUACAUGAAAACAAGACUAAUUCACUCCUUUGCAGAAAUGCUUGAAAUCCUUCAAAGCUGUAAAAAGUUCUGUUGGGUGAGAACAAGAUACAUACAGUGCUUGCAAUGACAGUGUGUUCUUUUAGAAAGAAGAUAAAGAUCUGUAUAGUAUAGAGACUGGGAGCCCUCGGUGUUAUUAGAUGAUUUUCCAGUCACUGCUUCUUUGUUGUGUCCAUAACACUGCGAAGGGUUGGAAGAAUCUCACAGGUGGCUUUCUUUCAUCAUACACAUAAGCACACACAUGCUCAUGCACACACACACAUCAUUUUAAAAUGCCACUCCAAACCUAUAUAAUGCCUGCUAAGACUAUUAUUUGUAGUAGAACUAACAUUGACAGGGCUAUCUUAAAUGAUUGUAUAUUGUAAAUGCUAAUGAAUUCUGACCAUUAAAAAAAAAAAUCAAAUCAAAGGACUGAAUUCUUUCACAUAAUGAACUCUAGGUCCUGGAACAAUAGUCCCUUGGACUCCCUCAUUAUUUAUCCGUGCAUAGGGUUAACUCUUUCUUAAAUUUUUCAUAGAGAGACUUUGAAUCAAGUUUUUAAAUCUUUAUCUUAAAAAGGCAAAUGCAAAUUAUGUGUGCGUUAUAUAGUCUAGUUGCCUACUAAACACAGGUAGGUAACCCUUGUCUUUGUAUAUACUGUUCAGGUAAGUUUAUGCACAUGAACAUUGUUUUGCAUCUUGUAUGCAUUAAAUGCUCACCAGUCAUUUUCAGUUUCUAAUUGAGCUGACACAUAUGUGAUUGUAUAAAUUCAAGAAAAUAUUUGCAAUUUUUAUUAAAAAAAGUUUUAUAACUUGUUAUUUGAGGGUCUUCCAGAAAACCAGAAUUGUUAACAGGUAAAAACACAGUUUAAUGUUUGCAUUAAAAUCUUGGAUCUGUUCUAAAUGUGUAGUGUGGCUAUAAAGCAGAAGUCUUAAAAUUAUGGUUGUUAUUAAAAAAUAAUAAAAUCUCAUGCUAUGAAGAAAAUAGCUAUCACAUACAAGGACAGUCCUGGCAAACUCAACAACUCUUCAAAGCCUGCCCAAGCAAAAUUUCAGAUUGGUAACAGGUCAUGUCCAGAACAAAAAAAAAUACAAAGUAGCCCUAGCAAAGGUAUUUCAAUACACACUCAAGUGAAGCCUUAUGUCAGCAGACCAGUGAUAUAAUACAGUGCUCAUAACUGUUCAAGUAUGAUCCUCACUUCAGGCAAAAUUCUGCACUCUUUACUCAGGCACAUCUCCCAGGAGCCAAUGUGGGAAGAUACGCAUGAACAAAGGAGGAGGAUCUUUUCCUUGUAAAUGGAGAUCUUUGAUUUCCUAGAUAAAUCAGCAUAGAUGCAAUCCCACUUGGGAUACAAAGCAGGUAGCUGCAUGCUUUCCCACUGCAAUCGCUAUUACCAGGGCAAUGUUAUGAACAGUAGCUUCUGUAAGAAUGAGAAGAUCUAUGCAGCUAGUUCACUUUGUUUCCACGGAACAGAGCAGAAAUCUUUCUCAGAUUUGCCUCAAAUGACUCAAAAGGGCAUCAGCAGAAAAGUAGUGUCAUAAUUGUUAAUGUUUUUUAUUUUAUUAUCAUUUCAUUUAAUGCUCAAGGGGCUGGCAUCAGGAGAAUGAUUUUGAAAACAGUUUGAAAUAUUUCUAUUACAAAGAAAAAAAAUAAGAAAGAUUUUUCUAUUUUUUUUAAUUCUCCUAAUUCUUGCUCUGACUCAUGACUUACAGGCUGUAACACAGGCUAUGGCAUUGUUCUGUGCUUUAUAAAAAUAUCUGCCUUUUCAUAACAGUGCAUAAGUGGAACAGUAGCUGUUUUCUGUGCUUCUCUCUCUUCAUCUUUUGACUCCACUUAAUCUAUGCUACUCCCUAGACCUUCAAUAUUCCCAUGUUACGGUUCUGUUGAGCCAGGCAAUAGCAGUAUCGGACGUAACAGAGCAUCUUACUGCUAGAAUACCAGUUGGAAAUGCACUACUGUGAUCCCAGUACUGAUCACUCUUUUCUGAACUAUAAUUCCCAGUGGUGAAUUAGUAGAACAGCUUAUAAGAAUAACUCCAAGCCUCCAACCUUCAAUUUGUUUUACUUCCUGUGAAGACACAAUUAUGCUAUAUCACAAGUAAAGUAUUACUAAAACAAAAAGGGAAAUCCCCUAGAAAUGCAUCUCAGCAAGAUUUUAAUCCCACUUUACUCAUUAACAAUAUUCUAUUAAACUCUUAGUUUUCCAUAAGAAGCCACAAUUUCAGACAGAUUUUUUAUGAAAAAAAGUGAGAGCUUUUCAAGGUUCUGACACUGAGGCAGACUAUAAUGGGUUGUCGUGUGAAAUUCCAGAGCUAAAACACUCACAAGCACAACCCUUCUGCAGCUAAAUGUUGAAAUUCCUUUAUUUCCACUCAAGUCACAAGGUAUUAAAAGCAUUUGAGGUUUUUUUUGUGUCAUUUUCCUCUGUAAAUAAUUCUGGCAAUACACCAACCAUACAUGGAUUGCAACCUGCAGAAGCAGGGACUAGAAGAAAAAAAAGCAAGCAUAGAAAAAAAGAUCCACCUCCCAUACUAUUCCUGCCAGUCAGUACACCUCUGCAUUCUAUACCAGCUGAUGCAUAAGACAGCAAACAUAUUAUAUAGGCGGGCAAUGUAGCUACCAGUAGCAGAACUAGUACAACAGCAAAGGGCAACAGAAAAGAAUGAGAAGAUUAUCUUAGUUUAAUCUAUUUUUGAUUUAAGGAGUAGUUGAUAUGUUUUUUCACUUUUUAAACUCCAACCAUUAUACAAAGCUGUAUCAACACUUAGCACCUGAAGGUAAAUUUACAGUUUUAUCACUCAGCAGUGUUAGAGCAUUAAGGGGACUUAUUUGCCAUUAAA